GAAAACAAUAAUUUUUUUUUUUGGCAUUUUCUUUGCCGCAUUUUUGGAAGAAAAUGUAAUAAAUGACCACACACCCACACUAUACACCCCUCUUCACUCCACCCCUCCCUCCUUUGUGAUUGAAAUUGAGAGUCCCUUCACCUUUAAAAAGAAAAUAGAUGAGCGGUCUGCACCCGCAAGGCGGUGCUCUUGUUGAUUUGUUUCUUGGCCCUGUUUUUAUUCGGUAAAGAAUAUCGUUUACUUUAUUGAUAACCUUACAUGGAUCCGUCCAAGGUCUAAGAAAUUUGCUACUAAGUCCCUUCUUUCUUACUGGAUAAAAAUACCAUACCAAAUCAUAUUCUUUAUAUUUUUUUUAUGCCUGCUUUUAAAAACGGGACGUAUUAUAGUUUCACCCCGGGCGGGCGGCGUCCACAGCAGUGUCCGCUCUCUAAUUCAAAUAGUUUUCAUCUGAUCUUCACCAAACUUGGUCAGAAGUUGUGUCUAGACAAUAUCUAGGUCAAGUUGGAAUAUGGGUCAUGCCGGGUCAAAAACUAGGUCACGGGGUCACUUAGGGCAUUUCAAGGAUUAAGCAUGGUGUCCGCUCUCUAAUUGAAGUAGUUUUCACCUGAUCUUCACCAAAUGUGGUCAGAAGUUGUGUCUAGAUGAUAUGUAGGUCAAGUUCAAAUAUGGGUCAUGCCGGGUCAAAAACUAGGUCACGAGGUUACUUAGUGCAUUUAAAGCAUUUACAUGUAGAAUGGUGUCCGCUCUCUAAUUGAAGUAGUUUUCAUCUGAUCUUCACCUAAUUUGGUCAGAAGUUGUGUCUAGAUGAUAUGUAGGUCAAGUUCAAAUAUGGGUCAUGCCGGGUCAAAAACGAGGUCGCAAGGUCACAUAGUGCAUUUCAAGCAUUUAGCAUGGUGUCCGCUCAUUAAUUGAAGUAGUGUUCAUCUGAUCUUCACCAAAUUUAGUCAGAUGUUACAUCUAAAUGAUAUCAAGGUCAAGUUCAAAUAUUAAUGUUAUCUCAAGCCAUUUCAUACACCUUGUGUAAUCUAUUUUCUAAAUCUGUGACAUAUUGUGCUUUUGAAUGUUCCGUUUCAGCUUCAUCUUUUUCAGUGCUUCCAUAUAUCAUGUCAACCGGUAACCUUAUUUCUCUACCAAGAUGUAACAUUGAUGGUGAAAAUUCUGUAGAUGACUGGACAGAUGACCUGUAGGCCAUGAGUACUAAAUCAAUGUGUUUAUCCCAGUCAUCUUGAUUUGAAGAAACAUAAGAGCAGCGAGCCGCCACCGGGAGGAGCAAGUCUGGACGGGCGCACCACCGUUGCGGCAUCUUCAAGCGGGCUGUGGUUAACACAGUCAAACACCUGACCUCCACCCAUGGGCUCACCAAGGGCUCAGAGGAAUACCUCCAUCACAAAAGCCAGUUGACGAAGAUGUAGGCACGGAAGCAACCGGCCACCACAUUGGCGUUGGUGUACAGGUCCACAUCCGGGUCCACCUCUCAGUCAAGAACUGGAUCCAGGUCCUCAUCCGGCUCUACGUCUUCGUUUCCUUUUCCUCCUCUUCCGCUUCAGCCGGCUGUUGAGCCAGCGCCUAUGCCACCUUCACCCCCAGCCUUUGCAUCAGCUGUCACCCCAGCAUCUGUUCAGCCCUGCUUUCUGCCAUCAGAAAAGGUCUACGCGGCUUUCCAGCAGCGGAUGGCGUGCCUCCCGAAGAAACGUAUACUUGGACCCUGGCAUUCGGAAGAUUUCUUCGCGGGUAUCCGGCAGCAGGCUCAGCAGCGAUCAACCCAGAAGCCCUUCCAGCGGUUUUGGUGGCUAAACGCACAGAAGGCCGCCGCAUACCCUAACUCGGAGCCACACACCGUGAAGAUCGUUUAGAAGUGCGCCACGUCAGCCACGGCGCCGAACUGAGCCAGGGCUUUAGUUCGUACCUCUGCUAGUGGACGCCGCACCUGCCCCCACCCCGGAGCUACCCGUCCGUGUGGUCCAGGACCUGUGGUCGUACCCAUGGUCAUACCUGUCGCCCCGGCUGGACGAAGAUACCAAUUGUAAGAAAUUGUCAGGGAGUCAUCGUCAUUGUCCCCAGCUUUCACAGACUGGUCGAACUCAGACCUGAAAGUCACGACAGACUGGAGCCAGGACGACGUUUUUCUGCCUCUACCUAAAUUUACGCUACGCCUGUCCUCCAGUAACGAGGAGGUCCAGCAGGCCCUGAACACGUCGUCCUCGUCGCGAUGAUGAUGAUGAUGAUGAUGAUGAUGAUGCUGAUGAUGAUGAGGGUGGUGAUGAAACGUGUUGAAAGUCUCUUUGGGCAUUGAUCAUGAUGAUGAUACUGCAAAAAAUAUAAAUAAUAACAUGUUGUCGAUGAUGAAUAUGAUGAUGAUGCAGAUGAGGAUCAUGAGGUGAUGAACCGUGUUUAAAGACUAUUUAGACAUUAAUCAUUAUGAUGAUACUGGUGUAAUAACAGACAAAUAGACGUAGAGAAAUUAUUACAUGUAGUUUCCUAUGCAUAUAAAUUUUGACAGCUGUGACCUACUUAAGUAACAACCAGUUUUAUACCCUUUUUCACCAGUAAUAAGACAAUUUUAGGUUUUGUAGAGAAUUCCAGACUA